CAUGGCUUCUCUCUCUCUCUCUCGCAGCCCUUCCUUCUUUUACUCUCCCUCUAUCCGUCUCUUAAUUCCAUGGUUGAAUUAACCUCUUCUUCCGGUAUUUCAUUUGGAGGACUAUCAGCAAGCUUUAACCAGGUGUGGCUAUGGCACGACGUAAUUCAUUACUCCACUUGAAGACUAUCGCAUGUUGAGUCAGGCCCAAGUUUCGAUUUGCUCCUCCGGGUUCCUUUAAUCGGGCUAGUGAAGAUAGCGCAUGGGCUUGGAAUCUCUCAACGAAGGAAGAACAUAUCCUUGGGACGUACCUACUCUUGCCAUUUGCUUCUUUGCCUCAUAUCAUGGCAGCGUCAAAAGCGAAUUAAGUUGCCGUUUUGAUUCCCCGCAGCUUUCCCCUAACAAAAUUCCACCACGACAAUCCACAUCAUGGGCUUUCAUAGGUCGGAAAUUCUGAA